rnacentral:pre_miRNA from 1 species
AUGGAGCGGUGUUGCGCUUUAUGAAUCGGUGUCAAUUUAUAUUAUAUGUUUACAUCACAUAAUAUAUUGAUUCCGAUACACAAGGCGCGGCAGAUGCCGUCG